CUGGGCUGGAAUGUCAACAACUUAGUUCAAUGAUAUCAGGAAUGCAUUCUUUGAUAGGUAUGUGUACUCUAAGACGUUGCUAAAACAAUUUGUCGAACAAUACGAGCGAGCUUUGAAGAAUAAGGUGGAGAAGGAGUUUCGGGCAAAUUUCAAAUCUUACUCACAAAUGGUUCCAUGUGCAACAAAAUAAGAGCUAGAGAAGCAAUUUCAACUAGUUUACACCAUCUCAAAAUUCAGGGAAGUUUCAGGAUGAGUUCAUUGGGAAGGUCUACUGCGAUCUCAUAUUUUCGUUAGAGUGCUUUUCAGGACCAGGUAUGAGGUAUUGGAGGAUGUCAUACUUGACGAUCGAGUGAAGAAAAAGAGCUAUUAUGUCACUUUUCAAAAAAAGAAAUGUGAAAUCGUAUGUAGUUGUCACCUCUUCAAGUUCAGAGGAAUAAUUUGUAGGCAUGCGAUCGUUGUACUUAUCUGUAAUAACAUCACCUCACUGCCCGACUCCUACAUAUUACGGAGAUGGAGAAGAGACGUGAGUAGGGCCCACACAAGGUUGCAGCCAGCUACGAUAGUUUGAGUAGCAGUCCAGCCCAGUUGAGAUAUGACAAAUUGUGUCAAUCAUUUGCUUCUCUUGUGAACUUGGUUGCAGAGGACGAUUAAGAAAGCCGUCAGGUAAUGGAUUGGAUAGAUUGCAAAGAACGAACAGUUAACACGAUGAGGUCGACUGGUGGAAGUAAUUCAUGCUUUUUAGACAGCGUUGGAUGAUGGAGCAUCACAGCACUCUGUCAAGGGAAGUGUACGGGACUCAAAAUGCUUGAAUAGAAAAGGUGCACCAAAAAAACUCCAAAGGAAAAGUUGUUUGGAAUCGAAUUCCAAUAAAGUAAAG
rnacentral:lncRNA from 1 species